AGCGUACACGGUGGAUGCCCUGGCAGUCAGAGGCGAUGAAGGACGUGCUAAUCUGCGAUAAGCGUCGGUAAGGUGAUAUGAACCGUUAUAACCGGCGAUUUCCGAAUGGGGAAACCCAGUGUGUUUCGACACACUAUCAUUAACUGAAUCCAUAGGUUAAUGAGGCGAACCGGGGGAACUGAAACAUCUAAGUACCCCGAGGAAAAGAAAUCAACCGAGAUUCCCCCAGUAGCGGCGAGCGAACGGGGAGCAGCCCAGAGCCUGAAUCAGUGUGUGUGUUAGUGGAAGCGUCUGGAAAGGCGCGCGAUACAGGGUGACAGCCCCGUACACAAAAAUGCACAUGCUGUGAGCUCGAUGAGUAGGGCGGGACACGUGGUAUCCUGUCUGAAUAUGGGGGGACCAUCCUCCAAGGCUAAAUACUCCUGACUGACCGAUAGUGAACCAGUACCGUGAGGGAAAGGCGAAAAGAACCCCGGCGAGGGGAGUGAAAAAGAACCUGAAACCGUGUACGUACAAGCAGUGGGAGCACGCUUAGGCGUGUGACUGCGUACCUUUUGUAUAAUGGGUCAGCGACUUAUAUUCUGUAGCAAGGUUAACCGAAUAGGGGAGCCGAAGGGAAACCGAGUCUUAACUGGGCGUUAAGUUGCAGGGUAUAGACCCGAAACCCGGUGAUCUAGCCAUGGGCAGGUUGAAGGUUGGGUAACACUAACUGGAGGACCGAACCGACUAAUGUUGAAAAAUUAGCGGAUGACUUGUGGCUGGGGGUGAAAGGCCAAUCAAACCGGGAGAUAGCUGGUUCUCCCCGAAAGCUAUUUAGGUAGCGCCUCGUGAAUUCAUCUCCGGGGGUAGAGCACUGUUUCGGCAAGGGGGUCAUCCCGACUUACCAACCCGAUGCAAACUGCGAAUACCGGAGAAUGUUAUCACGGGAGACACACGGCGGGUGCUAACGUCCGUCGUGAAGAGGGAAACAACCCAGACCGCCAGCUAAGGUCCCAAAGUCAUGGUUAAGUGGGAAACGAUGUGGGAAGGCCCAGACAGCCAGGAUGUUGGCUUAGAAGCAGCCAUCAUUUAAAGAAAGCGUAAUAGCUCACUGGUCGAGUCGGCCUGCGCGGAAGAUGUAACGGGGCUAAACCAUGCACCGAAGCUGCGGCAGCGACGCUGAUGCGUUGUUGGGUAGGGGAGCGUUCUGUAAGCCUGCGAAGGUGUGCUGUGAGGCAUGCUGGAGGUAUCAGAAGUGCGAAUGCUGACAUAAGUAACGAUAAAGCGGGUGAAAAGCCCGCUCGCCGGAAGACCAAGGGUUCCUGUCCAACGUUAAUCGGGGCAGGGUGAGUCGACCCCUAAGGCGAGGCCGAAAGGCGUAGUCGAUGGGAAACAGGUUAAUAUUCCUGUACUUGGUGUUACUGCGAAGGGGGGACGGAGAAGGCUAUGUUGGCCGGGCGACGGUUGUCCCGGUUUAAGCGUGUAGGCUGGUUUUCCAGGCAAAUCCGGAAAAUCAAGGCUGAGGCGUGAUGACGAGGCACUACGGUGCUGAAGCAACAAAUGCCCUGCUUCCAGGAAAAGCCUCUAAGCAUCAGGUAACAUCAAAUCGUACCCCAAACCGACACAGGUGGUCAGGUAGAGAAUACCAAGGCGCUUGAGAGAACUCGGGUGAAGGAACUAGGCAAAAUGGUGCCGUAACUUCGGGAGAAGGCACGCUGAUAUGUAGGUGAAGCGACUUGCUCGUGGAGCUGAAAUCAGUCGAAGAUACCAGCUGGCUGCAACUGUUUAUUAAAAACACAGCACUGUGCAAACACGAAAGUGGACGUAUACGGUGUGACGCCUGCCCGGUGCCGGAAGGUUAAUUGAUGGGGUUAGCGCAAGCGAAGCUCUUGAUCGAAGCCCCGGUAAACGGCGGCCGUAACUAUAACGGUCCUAAGGUAGCGAAAUUCCUUGUCGGGUAAGUUCCGACCUGCACGAAUGGCGUAAUGAUGGCCAGGCUGUCUCCACCCGAGACUCAGUGAAAUUGAACUCGCUGUGAAGAUGCAGUGUACCCGCGGCAAGACGGAAAGACCCCGUGAACCUUUACUAUAGCUUGACACUGAACAUUGAGCCUUGAUGUGUAGGAUAGGUGGGAGGCUUUGAAGUGUGGACGCCAGUCUGCAUGGAGCCGACCUUGAAAUACCACCCUUUAAUGUUUGAUGUUCUAACGUGGACCCGUAAUCCGGGUUGCGGACAGUGUCUGGUGGGUAGUUUGACUGGGGCGGUCUCCUCCUAAAGAGUAACGGAGGAGCACGAAGGUUGGCUAAUCCUGGUCGGACAUCAGGAGGUUAGUGCAAUGGCAUAAGCCAGCUUGACUGCGAGCGUGACGGCGCGAGCAGGUGCGAAAGCAGGUCAUAGUGAUCCGGUGGUUCUGAAUGGAAGGGCCAUCGCUCAACGGAUAAAAGGUACUCCGGGGAUAACAGGCUGAUACCGCCCAAGAGUUCAUAUCGACGGCGGUGUUUGGCACCUCGAUGUCGGCUCAUCACAUCCUGGGGCUGAAGUAGGUCCCAAGGGUAUGGCUGUUCGCCAUUUAAAGUGGUACGCGAGCUGGGUUUAGAACGUCGUGAGACAGUUCGGUCCCUAUCUGCCGUGGGCGCUGGAGAAUUGAGGGGGGCUGCUCCUAGUACGAGAGGACCGGAGUGGACGCAUCACUGGUGUUCGGGUUGUCAUGCCAAUGGCACUGCCCGGUAGCUAAAUGCGGAAGAGAUAAGUGCUGAAAGCAUCUAAGCACGAAACUUGCCCCGAGAUGAGUUCUCCCUGACUCCUUGA
rnacentral:rRNA from 1 species